rnacentral:rRNA from 1 species
AUUGAACGCUGGCGGCAUGCCUUACACAUGCAAGUCGAACGGUAACAGGUUAAGCUGACGAGUGGCGAACGGGUGAGUAAUGUAUCGGAACGUGCCCAGUCGUGGGGGAUAACUGCUCGAAAGAGCAGCUAAUACCGCAUACGACCUGAGGGUGAAAGCGGGGGAUCGCAAGACCUCGCGCGAUUGGAGCGGCCGAUAUCAGAUUAGGUAGUUGGUGGGGUAAAAGCCUACCAAGCCAACGAUCUGUAGCUGGUCUGAGAGGACGACCAGCCACACUGGGACUGAGACACGGCCCAGACUCCUACGGGAGGCAGCAGUGGGGAAUUUUGGACAAUGGACGCAAGUCUGAUCCAGCCAUGCCGCGUGCGGGAAGAAGGCCUUCGGGUUGUAAACCGCUUUUGUCAGGGAAGAAAAGGUUCUGGUUAAUACCUGGGACUCAUGACGGUACCUGAAGAAUAAGCACCGGCUAACUACGUGCCAGCCGCCGCCGUAAGAC